rnacentral:tRNA from 3 species
AGGCAAGUAAGUUAAAUUAAACUAUGGGGUUCAUGUCCCCACAAUAUGGUUCUCCAUCUUGCUGA